rnacentral:rRNA from 1 species
ACUCCUACGGGAGGCAGCAGUGGGGAAUAUUGCGCAAUGGGCGGAAGCCUGACGCAGCGACGCCGCGUGGGGGAUGACGGCCUUCGGGUUGUAAACCUCUUUCGACUUCGACGAAGCCUCUUGGGGUGACGGUAGGGGUGGAAGAAGCACCGGCCAACUACGUGCCAGCAGCCGCGGUAAUACGUAGGGCGCAAGCGUUGUCCGGAAUUAUUGGGCGUAAAGAGCUCGUAGGUGGCUUGUCGCGUCUGCCGUGAAAGCCCAUGGCUUAACUGUGGGUCUGCGGUGGAUACGGGCUGGCUAGAGGUAGGUAGGGGCAAGCGGAAUUCCUGGUGUAGCGGUGAAAUGCGCAGAUAUCAGGAGGAACACCGGUGGCGAAGGCGGCUUGCUGGGCCUUACCUGACGCUGAGGAGCGAAAGCGUGGGGAGCGAACAGGAUUAGAUACCCUGGUAG